ACGAACGCUGGCGGCGUGCUUAACACAUGCAAGUCGAACGGAAAGGCCCUGCUUUUGUGGGGUGCUCGAGUGGCGAACGGGUGAGUAACACGUGAGUAACCUGCCCUUGACUUUGGGAUAACUUCAGGAAACUGGGGCUAAUACCGGAUAGGAGCUCCUGCUGCCUGGUGGGGGUUGGAAAGUUUCGGCGGUUGGGGAUGGACUCGCGGCUUAUCAGCUUGUUGGUGGGGUAGUGGCUUACCAAGGCUUUGACGGGUAGCCGGCCUGAGAGGGUGACCGGCCACAUUGGGACUGAGAUACGGCCCAGACUCCCACGGGAGGCAGCAGUGGGGAAUAUUGCACAAUGGGCGGAAGCCUGAUGCAGCAACGCCGCGUGCGGGAUGACGGCCUUCGGGUUGUAAACCGCUUUCGCCUGUGACGAAGCGUGAGUGACGGUAAUGGGUAAAGAAGCACCGGCUAACUACGUG
rnacentral:rRNA from 1 species